rnacentral:rRNA from 1 species
UACAGAGGUCCCAAGCGUUGUUCGGACUCAUUGGGCGUAAAGGGUGCGUAGGCGGCGCGGUAAGUCGGGUGUGAAAUCUCGGAGCUUAACUCCGAAACUGCAUUCGAUACUGCCGUGCUUGAGGACUGGAGAGGAGACUGGAAUUUACGGUGUAGCGGUGAAAUGCGUAGAUAUCGUAAGGAAGACCAGUGGCGAAGGCGGCUACCUGGCCCAUUCUUGACGCUGAGGCGCGAAAGCUAGGGGAGCAAACGGG